AGAGUUUGAUCCUGGCUCAGGAUGAACGCUGGCGGCGUGCCUAAUACAUGCAAGUCGAACGGGAAGCCUCGUGUUUACAUGAGGUGGAGAGUGGCGCCCGGGUGAGUAACACGUAGCUUAUCUGCCCUUCGCAGGGGGAUAACAUCGAGAAAUCGGUGCUAAUACCGCGUACGCUCAAGAGGCUUAGAAAGUCUUGAGGAAAGCUCCGGCGGCGAAGGAGGAGGCUGCGUCCCAUCAGCUAGUUGGUGCGGUAAGAGCGCACCAAGGCAACGACGGGUCGGGGACCUGAGAGGGUGACCCCCCACACUGGUACUGACACACGGACCAGACUCCUACGGGAGGCAGCAGUAAGGAAUAUUGCGCAAUGGAGGCAACUCUGACGCAGCAACGCCGCGUGCGGGAAGAAGGUCUUCGGAUCGUAAACCGCUUUUCUGAGGGAAGAGUAAGGACGGUACCUCAGGAAUAAGUCUCGGCUAACUACGUGCCAGCAGCCGCGGUAAAACGUAGGAGGCAAGCGUUAUCCGGAUUUACUGGGCGUAAAGCGCGUGUAGGCGGUUGGGUAAGUCGUGCGUGAAAGCUCCCAGGCUCAACCGGGAGAGGUCGUGUGAUACUGCCGAACUAGAGGCAGAGAGAGGCAAGUAGAAUUCUG
rnacentral:rRNA from 1 species